rnacentral:lncRNA from 1 species
AUGAACUUGGCGCAGGGGGAGGAAAGGGGAAGGGGGAAAAGUAGGGCAAGAGGAAACCCGAGGAAGCAAGCCCCUGAGGCAGCAAGCAGGAGGCAGGGGCCAGGAAACCCUCGCCCGGAACUGGCUGAGACCCCCAACUCCAGGGGUCCCGAGCCCCGGCCGCCCCACCCCCACCGCCGCAGCGCCGCCCUCGCAGCCCCGCGGGCGCCAGGGCGCUCAUUCAGACCAAGAUGGGCUCACAGGAAUACUGCAUUUCCUACUGGAUGCAGAGGGUGUGAUGCAGAAUAAACGCUGUGGCAGAGAUUAGCCGCCCUGCUGGCUCAGGACCAGAGCUGGCUCACAAUUCUAUCCUGUUUGUGCCAACAACUCAGAUAUUGACUUCAAGAAGAUCCAUGGUUGCUCCUCAGGACCUGUGAGGGAUCAGUUCUAGGAAGUCCCACAAACACCGAAUCCCAUGGAGGCCUUACAUAAAAUGGUGUAGUAUUUGCACGGACCCUGGCACAUCCUCCUGAUAACCUCACAUUUAUUUCGAGAUUGCUUAUAAUACUGAUGCUAUGUAAAUGUUGCAUACUGUAUUGCUUAGAUAAUAAUGACAAGAAAAAAUGGCUGUGCAUGUUCAAUACAAAGGCAAUUUUUACUUUUUUUAGAAUAUUUUCACUCCAUCGUUGGCUGAAUCCACAGAUGUGGCACCCACAGAAAUAGAGAGCCAACUGGACCCAUUAGGGUAUUCACAUGGUUUUUGAAAACCACAAAACUUCUAUUACAGUUUGAGAUUAAUUUGGCAUUGGUUCGCUGCUUUUUCUCCAUAAACUCAAUGGUGGUUUCUACUACCUCUUCCCCUUCCAUGUCUUCUCAUCCAUCACCUCUAAUCUGCUUAUGCUACCCUCUCUUAUCAGACCAUUCCUUGCCUUUGAGUCAGCCUUCACUGAGUUAACUUAAGUGACUGGGCAUAUAAUGUUCUUUUGAGUUGAGAAAUAAGUAUUCUGAAUGAGAAGGCUUUUUCUGAAUUGUUCUGAGAUGUUCCAAUGCCCAUAUCCAAAUUAUUCCACUGUUUAACAUGCUAUAUCCUCGUGAAUGCCACUAGGGCUUGAGGGCCCAAGUACCAGAUUGUGUCUUAAAAAUCAUUGUGUGGGGGCCAGCGCUGUGGCUCAGUAGGUUAAGGCCCUGGACAGAAGCACCAGCAUCCCAUUUGGGUGCCAGUUUGAGUCCUGGCUGUUCCACUUCCCAUCCAGCUCUCUGCUAUGGCCUGGGAAAGCAGUGGAAGAUGGCCCAAGUCCUUGGACCCCUGCACCCACAUAGGAGAUCCAGAAGAAGCUCCUGGCUCCUGGCUUCAGAUCGGUACAGCGCCGGCCGUUGCGGCCAUCUGGGGAGUGAACCAUUGGAUGGAAGACCUCUCUCUCUCUCUGCCUCUCCUCUCUCUGUGUGACUCUGACUUUCAAAUAAAUAAAUAAAUCUUUAAAAAAAAAAAUCA